UCUUUUAGGACCAUCACGGCCCAAGAACAUGACAUAUUCUCCAUCGAUCUCUUCAAUUUCAGACAAACGUGAGUUUUUGAAAAGAAACCGCACAGCUCUGGUUAGCCAGGUGAAAAACGUGAAGGCCAUUGUCGAUGAUCUGCAGAGUGGAGGUUGUCAUGAUGAAAUGGCUGCCAACGUGAAUGCCCAGUUGACACCACAAGAAAUGAUGAGGAAGCUCCUGGAUAGCGCGACCAGCACCGGGGCUGCUAACGCCCUGAUUCAAGCCCUUUCAACUCAUCAGAAGGAUGUCAUGGAUGACCUGAUUGCUGAAAAUGCUUGAAGAGGUCAAUUGGUUCUUCAUUAUAAUUGAUCUAUUUUUUACCUUUUUUCUAUCACUUUCUUUUUCCUCUGAGCCACCAGCCUGGUCUCAUAAACUAGUAAACUUACAUCUGGGACACUCAGAAUAGUAUAAUAUGCUACAGUACAUUUGGUACUGUAUGUUUACAUUAAAUUAAUGUAGAGUGGUUGGUUAAAGUGGAUGAGUAUGAUGCAACCUGUCAACUACUUACUUCUUUGAACCUACUUAGCAUGUUAGCUAACCCUUCCCCUAACUCUUAACUCCUAACACUAACCCUAGGCCUAGCUAACAUUAGCCACAACAAAUUGGAAUUCAUAACAUAUACGUUCUGCAAAUUGGUAACAUUACAUAUUGAAAUUCAUAACAUAUCAUACAAAUUGUAAUUUGUAACAUAUCAUAGGAAAUGGAUGAUGGACAUCCACAAAUGAAUACAUACCAUACGAAAGGUAACAUAUCAUACUAAUUGGCUGUUCCAGAUAUAUAUUUACUCUGUUACGUCUACCCCCUGAAUCCAGGCUGUUGCCACAUGUAAUUAUUGGUGGUGGUGCUAUUUUUUAUUGACAAAACCUGGACAAUAUAAUAUUUUAAGGGGAAACAUUUCUAUAAAAAAUGCAAGACAAUAUAUUUUGAUUAUGUUGACUAUGGUUCUUUACAUUCCAAAUAUAAAAUGUAAUGGUGCAGUUUGAAGAUUUACCCGCCACAUUACCUUUAAAUGAAAUGUUGUUGAACUACUUACGUUGUCAAACUCCAAGAAGGAGAGGUCCAAUAAAUAAACAUCUGUAGGCCUAUUGUAAUGGAAUCCUUCAUCCUCCUCUGGCGAGGAGUAUGAAAUGUCGGACCAAUGCACAGCGUGGUAUGUGUUCAUGAUGAUUUCUUUUACUGAACACUGAAAAUACAAAAUAACAACGUGAAAAUAAACUAAAACCAAAACAGUCCUGGAAGGUGCGAAAACACUAAAACAGAAAAUAAUCACCCACAAAACACAGGUGGGAAAAGGCUACCUAAGUAUGAUUCUCAAUCAGAGACAACGAACGACAGCUGCCUCUGAUUGAGAACCAUACCAGGCCAAACACAUAAACACAACAUAGAAAAAAGAACAUAAACUACCCACCCAACUCACGCCCUGACCAUUCUAAAACAAAGACAUAACAAAGGAACUAAGGUCAGAACGUGACACCUAUAAACAUCUAUCGGCCUCUACAGGCCAAGAGUUGGACUUGCAAUGACAGUCUGUGUUUGACUUUGUCAUACUGACACACCCCAUCAUAAUAGACAAUACAUUUGCAGGUAGUUAUCUAAACAUUGACCGUUGACGUUUAAGCCAUAUUUGCAUACAUUGUAAUGCAACAACUAGAAAUGGACAAUCACCUCUAUAAGCGUGAUAAAAUGUGAACACAAAACAUCAGAAAACACUAGUAACUUAGCACAUUAUUCUGAGCACGUUAGUGAGGGUACGAGGUUCCACAGACACAGACACAAACACCCAAUGUCCAAUCUUGCUUCAAUAUUAAAUCAAGUAAAGAUACAAUAAUCCUAAUAAAACUGGGUCAAAUGACUUCCUGAAUGUUUCUAGAUAUUGCACAGGAAAAGGUAAGGUCUGUGUUCCAUUUCUCAGCCAACCUGUUUCUAUUUUAUUUCAACUUGUUCCACUCUUACAAGUGUCUUGUGUAUUUUUGCCUGCAUAUCACUGCCCGCUCAACCCACAUCUUAGAACCAGUAAAUGUUUUGCCUGCCCAGUGAGACAGGGACUUCACUUUCAGCCCUACCCUGGGAUGUCAAGGAAAGGUCAAGUACAAGAGCACCUGGCAUAGCAUACUACUAAUUUUACAUUUAAGUCAUUUAUCAGACACUCUUAUCCAGAGCGAUUUACAGUAGUGAGUGCAUACAUUUAAAGGAAAUAAAAUGUCCAAUCGGUACCUGUGGAAAUCGAAACCACAACCCUAGCGUUGCAAGCGGCAUGCUCUAACAACUGAGCUACACAUUACUCCUCAAUGUGAAUCUUACGGCGCAAUCUGUACUUUCGCUUUCGCUGUAUGUGUUCACCAGUUGUGUAAACGUGGUUAUAUAACGCAGUAAGUUUGCCUCCGCCACAUUUGAGCUUUUCGGGACCUUUUCAAGUUAAGUCUUUUCAGUCUUCAGAUUUACAUUUACUACCAGAACCUGUGCCGUUAGAGCUUUAUCAUUUGGGUUAGGGUUAGAGAAGAUCCAGAGAAGAUCAGUCUUCUUUUGGAGACAUUCAUUGAAAUGGAAGAAAGUACAUGUCAGGACUUCCUAAAGAUUCUGAAGGAAGAGCAUACACAUUAUCCAGGCCGUCAACAACAUUUCAGCAAGAGCACACAAGCUUCAUCCAGCCCAACGGUGUAUGCGGAUUGCAACAGCACUGUUGAUACCAGGAAAGUCACCAAUGUCCACGGUAUUAAAGACGUAAACAUGAAUUUAACCGUUCAAGCAGGAUCGGGGAAUCGAUCUGGAAUGAACGUCAGCCAACCACCCCCACAUGCAGAUUUGGUUGUAACAACAGACAGCCAUAUAAUUGCACCAGAGAUAUCGAACUGUACAAUCCAUGGCAACCUCAAUAUGUCUGUGAUGCAGGUCCCGGCCCCCGAGGCCCCACAGUGUCCAGUGUUACCACAGCAAACAGAAGAUGUGUCCUCUUCUCAGGGCCCUGCCAUGAAAAUGAUCAUUGAGAAUAAGGUGAAACUCAUCGACUGGCUCCGAGCAGAUUCUGGCUUCCUUCUUCAACAUGUGCACUCCAAACGUAUUGUUACCGAUAGAGAGUAUCAACAGCUGAAGAGCCUCUCAGUACCAGAGGCUGCUGUGACCGACCUGAUUGACAAGAUAAUUCUCAAAAAGGAAGAGACUUGCUCUCAGUUUCUUGAUACUCUCAAAGAAAGUCAGGUGAAUGACACCUAUCCCGAACUUAAGGAGUGGAUUACCACCAUAUUCUGACUAGGACCAUCAUGGCCCAAGAACAUGACAUAUUCUCCAUCGAUCUCUUCAAUUUCAGACAAACGUGGGUUUUUGAAAAGAAACCGCACAGCUCUGGUUAGCCAGGUGAAAAACGUGAAGGCCAUUGUAGAUGAUCUGCAGAGUGGAGGUUAUCAUGAUGAAAUGGCUGCCAACGUGAAUGCCCAGUUGACACCACAAGAAAUGAUGAGGAAGCUCCUGGAUAGCGCGACCAGCACCGGGGCUGCUAACGCCCUGAUUCAAGCCCUUUUAACUAAUCAGAAGGAUGUCAUGGAUGACUUGAUUGCUGAAAAUGCUUGAAGAGGUCAAUUGGUUCUUCAUUAUAAUUGAUCUAUUUUUUUACCUUUUUUAUAUCACUUUCUUUUUCCUCUGAGCCACCAGCCUGGUCUCAUAAACUAGUAAACUUACAUCUGGGACACUCAGAAUAGUAUAAUAUGCUACAGUACAUUUGGUACUGUAUGUUUACAUUAAAUUAAUGUAGAGUGGUUGGUUAAAGUGGAUGAGUAUGAUGCAACCUGUCAACUACUUACUUCUUUGAAGCUACUUAGCAUGUUAGCUAACCCUUCCCCUAACUCUUAACUCCUAACACUAACCCUAGGCCUAGCUAACAUUAGCCACAACAAAUUGGAAUUCAUAACAUAUACGUUCUGCAAAUCGGUAACAUUACAUAUUGAAAUUCAUAACAUAUCAUACAAAUUGUAAUUUGUAACAUAUCAUAGGAAAUGGAUGAUGGACAUCCACAAAUGAAUACAUACCAUACGAAAGGUAACAUAUAAUACUAAUUGGCUGUUCCAGAUAUAUAUUUACUCUGUUACGUCUACCCCCUGAAUCCAGGCUGUUGCCACAUGUAAUUAUUGGUGGUGGUGCUAUUUUUUAUUGACAAAACCGGGACAAUAUAAUAUUUUAAGGGGAAACAUUUCUAUAAAAAAUGCAAGACAAUAUAUUUUGAUUAUGUUGACUAUGGUUCUUUACAUUCCAAAUAUAAAAUGUAACGGUGCAGUUUGAAGAUUUACCGCCACAUUACCUUUAAAUGAAAUGUUGUUGAACUACUUACGUUGUCAAACUCCAAGAAGGAGAGGUCCAAUAAAUAAACAUCUGUA